ACAGGAGCAGAAUUUACAUUUAGCAAACAUUUUAACAAUGGUGUCAAUGAGCAUCUGGCAUUUCUUAUUUGUGGUGAUUGUUUCUCAACAAGGUAUCAGUGGUGAUGAAAUCCGAUUAGAUCAGUCUCCUGCUGUGAUAAAGAGACCUGGAGAAACAGUGAAGAUCUCCUGUAAAAUAUCUGGUUUUACGAUGACAAGCUCCUACAUGCACUGGAUCAGACAGAAGCCAGGGAAAGCUCUGGAGUGGAUUGGGAGAGUAAACUCUGGCAGUAGUUCUAGCUCUAAUUAUCUUAUUUACGCAGACUCUGUGAAAAAUCACUUCACUAUGAGUGAGGAUGUGUCUCAAAGUACACAGUAUCUUGAAGCCAAGAGUCUGAGAGAAGAGGACACUGCUGUUUAUUACUGUGCUCGAGAGUCACAGUGACUCCAUCUGUUGAAGAGGCCCUACAAUAACCACAGAAAGAAGUUAUUAGGCUAUGACUAGUAAUUAUUUAGUCAUUAUUAUUUUUAAAUAUUAGUAGUCAUUGUUAUAAUAAGAUCAUCAUGAUUUUAAUUCUUUCUGGUUCUUAAAUUCAGAUACUUUCUUGUUUGUAUCUGAAAUCCACUCACCAUUUGCAUGACCAUUGAAAGGACAGAGUUUACUGUUGAUAGAUAUUGCAAUUUUUGAUCUUCACUCAGAUUUGUAUUUAUUUGUUUCUAACUUUAAUUAUUUUUCUUUCAUCCAGCUUACUGUAAUGUAUAGUACUCUUGCUUUAAUUGCUGUAGUGAUGCUCAAAAAUAACCAUUGUGGCCAUCAUGACACCUGCAGUGUUUACUGAGCUUUGAUGACUGCUGAUCUGACAAUAAGUUGACUACUAAAAAGAAACAGCUGAACAGCAGUCAUCAGUUCACAAAUAAAAUAUAUGACAUAUGAAAUUUGUUACUGCAUUCUUUU